GUACACUCCUACGGGAGGCAGCAGUGGGGAAUAUUGGACAAUGGGCGCAAGCCUGAUCCAGCCAUGCCGCGUGAGUGAUGAAGGCCCUAGGGUUGUAAAGCUCUUUCACCGGUGAAGAUAAUGACGGUAACCGGAGAAGAAGCCCCGGCUAACUUCGUGCCAGCAGCCGCGGUAAUACGAAGGGGGCUAGCGUUGUUCGGAUUUACUGGGCGUAAAGCGCACGUAGGCGGACUAUUAAGUCAGGGGUGAAAUCCCGGGGCUCAACCCCGGAACUGCCUUUGAUACUGGUAGUCUUGAGUUCGAGAGAGGUGAGUGGAAUUCCGAGUGUAGGGGUGAAAUUCGUAGAUAUUCGGAGGAACACCAGUGGCGAAGGCGGCUCACUGGCUCGAUACUGACGCUGAGGUGCGAAAGCGUGGGGAGCAAACAGGAUUAGAUACCCUUGUAGUCCCA
rnacentral:rRNA from 1 species